AUGGGACUGUAUAUACUAUUAUGAAAUAAAUAAAAGGACGCGUCAUAGAGAGAGAGAACAAAGGAAGCACACAACAAAAGCAUCAGCGAAAUGCAUCCCAACUUUCUUUUACCGUCUCCACCAAUUUCUUUGUAUGUGUUAACGCAUGUAAGAGUAUCGACUCAGAUUGAUAUUCAUAUCAGUGAUGGUGACGGGCAUUUGCAACCCAAUGCUUUCCACUUGCAAGAUUUCGAUUUCCACUUGCAACAUGCUUGACCUCUCCUCGGUGACACCUGUUUUGUAGAGUUUCUGGGC
rnacentral:misc_RNA from 1 species